CGCGACCGAGUGCUCGGUCGAGCGCCUCGAGUCUGCGGUACGCGAGCUCGCGGAUCGAAUCCGCAAGCCGCGCC
rnacentral:tRNA from 1 species